UUUGAGGCACUAAAUGGCUUGUCUAAAGUUGUUUACGGUUAGAAUAUGCUAUAUUACAAUGAAUUUGAUUGAUUAAAAGUGUUAGAGAUGCAUGAAGAAUGUUUAGAAGUGUGAAGAAAGACUUGGUCAAUUCAGGUCCCAAAUUGGAUAAGAACCCAAAACCAUUGCUUUGAGGCACUAAUUAGCUUGUCUAAAUUUGUUUCGGGUUAGAAUAUGUUAUAGUACAAUGAAUUUGAAUGAUUACAACUGCUAGAGAUGCAUGAAGAAUGUUUAGAAGUGUGAAGAAACACUUGGUCAAAUCUG
rnacentral:lncRNA from 1 species